UUCAUGGCGCUGCUGGGCCGCCCCAGCCCAAUGGAAAAAGAGCUCCCCGGGGCCGGCCCCGCCCGAGCGAACGGCGCCCGCAGCGCCCGGCCCGGCCGCCGCCGCCUUCACACCCGAGCCCGGCCCGCGCAUCGAGGGGCUCCAGCUUCCGUGUCUGCACAAAAAUCCAUCGCGCUGCACACCAAACAGGCUGCAGCAAAACACAUGGAAACACCUUGGGAGCCUACUGAGAACUCGUCAAAUGAAUGUGACCGGCCCUGACUGCACGCUUAGGAGAAAGACGGCCUUGCUCCAGGGCACGCAAAUACCAAACUGCAGCGGAGGCACAAGCAAGUCCGGAGGAAAACAACUGUGGAGUCUGGAGAGUGGAUUUUGGUGAAGCCUUAGACCUGUGGGAUGGUGGCGAGGUGCUGGGAAUCCGAACCUGUCUGGAACAAAAGUAUCACCAGCUCCUGCUUUUUCAGGGGUCUGAAAGGGCACGUUUUGGGGAUCAGCGCUGCUCCUCCUGCCUCUUCAGGCAUGAUCACAUGGGGCUGAGCCUGCCCUGAGGAUACAGGAAGGUGGAAGAGAUCUGCUUGGACUGACCUGCCUUGAGUUCUGCCAGAGGCAAAUUCCUGAGCUCUUCUGGAUUUGAGGGAAAUAAAAAUGCUCCAGGAUCUAAAGCACCAAUCCUUCCAUCAGCAGCGUAUGGCCAGACUGGAGAAGAGGUGACCAGAACGGCUCGGCACUGGGGACCCUGCGCCGGCUGUGACAUUGCAGCCCGGUGACCAGAACGGCUCGGCACUGGGGACCCUGCGCCGGCUGUGACGUUGCAGCCCGGUGACCAGAACGGCUCGGCACUGGGGACCCUGCACUGGCUGUGACAUUGCAGCCCGGUGACCAGAACGGCUCGGCACUGGGCGGCUCUGGCCGCGGUUCGUUACCAUCACGCGGUUGCUAAGCCUGUCAAGCAUCCAGCUGAUUUCCUAAAUCUGCUUAGGUUGUGGCGCUAUUAAUCUGUUCAAGCCAAUUCUGUAAACCCCAAACCAUCUGUAUUUGUGAAGAUCAUGGUUUAUUUAGAUUUCCUUUGUGUCUGCUGUCAGCGGAUGAUUGAAAGCGCUCGGGAUUUACAGUGCAAAGUCUACGCGUUGGCACGUUACAGUGACCUUCCAAGUAGCGUCUCCCAGUAUUUGAGUAACAGCCGGUACAGUUAAGUCCAGCAGGAAAACAAAGAACAGCUACAAAGAAUGGAAAUAGCUAAGCUUUUGCCAUGUGUCAUGGCUGCAAGUAGUGGAAACAGCAAAGCUUCUACAGCUUUUCGGCCUAUUCUCCGGGCUUUUGUUUUAUUUGUAAUUACCACAGUUUUCUCGUUAAAUACACAACGAUGUUUAGUUAACAUUUUUGUAUCGAGUGUGCAUGGUAUUUCCAGGGAAAUGGCGAAGCAGUCACUAAAGGUCUGUCACCAACAAGCUUUUGAGGCCCCAACGAGGACUCCAGGAGGAGUGUUCCAGCGCUCACACUGCGUCGCUGCUGCUGGGAAGGGCUCCAGAGCCAGCUCUCACAGCAAAGCAGCCUCCUGACAUUUGGAAAUGUAAGGAAUUAUUUCCCAUAUGACCCUGCUGGUGAUGUCAAGGAUUUGCUGAGCUGCUGACAUGUAUUUUCUAAGUACACCGGCAGCACAAGACAGCUGGCAGAGCUCGGGACAUCUUUUUAGUUCUUUCUGUGUUGCUCAUUAUAGUGAACCUGAUUGGAUUACUAAUGGGAGAUGUAUUGUUGUAACUUCUUUUAACAUGCAAUUGGCACAGAAUAGUUUGUGAAAUAUUUCCAAGUUAAUGUAAAAAACCCACAGGGAUUAACCUUAGGGGCCCCGACGUAGCAAAGACAGAGAGCAAGUGCUUCACCUGAAGCGCAUGCUGAAAUGACUGCUGUUCAGCAAAGCACGUAAGUGUGGAGCUGAGCGCUGGCCAAGCAGUUUGGCAGCCGCUGCGCUCCCGGGGGAGCUUUUCCGCUGUGUGACGCAGUGCGGUGACAGAGAGCGGUGUCCCUCCGCCGCUGCUCUUCCCUGCACGAAGGGCUGUUCGGGUGCUACAUGGGUUGCCGUUUCCCUUGUUAAGAAGUUAAAAUACUCAGUGCUCCGUUCUCAAGUUUCACCACAUUGCAGGGAAACGUGCUCUUAGACUACUGCAUUUUUUAGACUGAUGAAAUGGGGCGGGUGAGCCGAGGCUGCUGUGCGGGACAGCGCGGGACGGGCUGCCCUCGUUGCCCUGGGCUGUCUCACGGCAAGAGAGGCGCUUCCACGGUCACAUUCACUGGACGUUUCUCAGAUGUCUGCUGCAGGAUGACGAGAUGAAUUGCGUUUCAAAAGCUCCUGCUUCUCUCUGUUGGGGAUAAAAGGAUCCCAGAGGAACUAGGUCGGAUGAAUUCCAUCCCCGUGUCCAUAAAAAUGGAACUGUACAUGCAACCUGCAACAAAACACAGAGCUGAAGGGAUUGAAGAGUACAAUCUGCUAAAGAAAAAACAGUUUAUUUUAAUUGUUCUGAGGAGGAGGUUUAGAAUACCUGCUGGGGAUAUGGAAGAGGUCCAGCACACCCUAGGAUAGAGUGAGCUCCUCAGCCCAGGGUCCAUGGCUGCUGGAGGACCCUGCUGAGGAGGCGGUCGAGAGGUGAAGAACAGCAUCAGGCACUUCUCCGAGCAGGAGCAGCGGCUGCUGUGACGCUGAUGAUGCUGCUGCCCCAGUCCAAAGCAUUGUUUGGUACCCGAGCUCCCGCCACCCCUUCCACUAGAAUCACCAUCCACAGGCUCUGGGCAUCACCGUCGGGUGGCUGUUUGGUACUGGAGCUCCCACCACCCCUUCCGAUAGAACCACCAUCCACAGGCUCCGCGCAUCACCAUCGAGUGGCUGUUUGGUACCCGAGCUCCCGCCACCCCUUCCACUAGAAUCACCAUCCACAGGCUCCGGGCAUCACCGUCGGGUGGCUGUUUGGUACUGGAGCUCCCACCACCCCUUCCGCUAGAAUCACCAUCCACAGGCUCCGCGCAUCACCAUCGAGUGGCUGUUUGGUACCGGAGCUCCUCCCGCCACCCCUUCCGCUAGAAUCACCAUCCACAGGCUCCACGCAUCACCAUCGAGUGGCUGUUUGGUACCGGAGCUCCUCCCGCCACCCCUUCCGAUGGAAUCACCAUCCACAGGCUCCAGGCAUCACCAUCGAGUGGCUGUUUGGUACCGGAGCUCCCGCCACUCCUUCCGAUGGAACCACCAUCCACAGGCUCCAGGCAUCACCGUCAAGUGGCUGUUUGGUACUGGAGCUCCCACCACUCCUUCCGAUAGAACCACCAUCCACAGGCUCCGGGCAUCACCAUCGGGUGGCUGUUUGGUACCGGAGCUCCUCCCACCACUCCUUCCGAUAGAACCACCAUCCACAGGCUCCGGCAUCACCAUCGAGUGGCUGUUUGGUACCGGAGCUCCUCCCGCCACCCCUUUCACUGGAGACCUCCCAGGCAGUGCUGCGUCCUCGGCACUCCCCGCUGCAGCAUCUCACACAGUUGUAUGAGAAUCACCAUCCAUUAUAUAUAUUGGAUCUAUUUUUUCUCUGAAAAUUUUAAAUAAUUAAUGGGGCUUCAUUAUAUAAAGAGGCUAGUUAUAAAUCAUUGGAGCUGCACCUGGAGAUUUUUCAUGUCAGCAUUCUCAAAUGAAGGACAUCUCUCCAGGGCCACCUAUUGUUCUAAAUACAGUUCAGAAGAGGAAUUAUGCCUGUAGUAUUCAUGACCAAAUAAGUAAUCUCCAUCACAGAUUUGAUCCCAAAGCUUCACAAUCCGGGGAGCUUGAUGUGUUAGUGGCAGAGUGCUGAUUUUCUGCUCCGUCAUGAGAGGUCGUUUCAUUCAGCUUACGCACGUACAUGUUCCCCUGUGUAUCACCAGAUUUACAGCGUUUGGAUUACAGUCCGGUUACAGUGGUUGGGUUACAGUCACCUAUUCCCUUUUCGUUCUCCACGUCAGAAAUGUAGCUGUUCUGGUACCCACGCCAGGGUCCAGCAGUUUCCCGCUGCAGCUGAUGCUCUCAGCUGCCGGUCCCUGCAGAUACCGGCGUGCACAGAGCUGAGGAGGUUACAAAACUGGCUGCAGAAAACAAUUGUAAGGACUCCUGAAAUCAUACCAUUGCAGCAUCCCAGGUUCACCUGAAUUUCCCGAGACAGUCCUGCAGAUGAUUUGGACUCAGUUAACCUGUCUGUGGUCAGAUCCCCAGGGAGAGGCAGGACUUGUACUGAUGCCAAACAGGCACCAAAGGCCAUGGAAGAAACGGCUUUUUGAGAAAAGGGACUUGUGCUCCUGCGCAGGGCUCUGGAGCUGUAGCACGAAGUCUAAGGCAGAUGGAGGGGCCUGAAGAGAAGGACCCUUGUGGGGAGAAUGAUGGGAGAAUCCUGACUUUGGGAGCACCCAGGGGCCGAGAGCUGCUGGAGCAGCUGCUGUUGGAGCACCGAGGUGGGUGAUGAACAGCAUGGGCAAACCGCUCCAUCUAGAUUGGAGACUGAUCUGAGCUCAGGAGAGACUCUGAACGCUGGAUUGUUCUUGACACGAGACCCGCUGACUGAGCCGGAGGCCCAGGGGCUCCUUCGGACCUCGGCAUUGCAGGGACGC